GGUUCCAUAGUGUAGCGGUGAGCACGUCUGCUUUACAUGCAGAAGAUCUGGGUUCGUGCCCCAGUAGAGCCA
rnacentral:tRNA from 1 species